rnacentral:rRNA from 1 species
UACAGAGGGGGCAAGCGUUAUUCGGAAUUAUUGGGCGUAAAGGGCGCGUAGGCGGUCGGACAAGUGGAAGGUGAAAUCCCCAGGCUCAACCUGGGAACUGCCCUCCAAACUGUUUGACUUGAGUCCGGGAGAGGUGAGUGGAAUUCCGGGUGUAGCGGUGGAAUGCGUAGAGAUCCGGAAGAACACCGGUGGCGAAGGCGGCCUGCUGGGCAGUUUGGCUGACACUGAGGCGCGACAGCGUGGGGAGCAAACAGG